rnacentral:lncRNA from 1 species
GCUAUAUGUGAAAAACUUCUGGUUUUUCAACAUUUCACAAUAAUGUCGAUAACAUUAUUUGGAUAUGGCUAUAUAUCAGUAAACUUCAGGUUUACCACUCAAUUAUAAUUUUGCCAUCUUUUUCUUAUGCAUGUCUUUUCAUCAUAAGCUCCUCCAGAGCCAAUAGUAAUUUUUAUAUUACUAGAUACAAUACUUAUAUUAUUAUUCUAUGAAGACAUUUAUCAUGUCGAAUUUGACAAAGCUCAAAAUUAAUGCCCUGGAUAUUACGGAAAAUAAUUAUAUGAACAUAAUUUUUCGAUGUUCUAGUCACUAGGAUUCUUUAAUUCUCCCCCUCGAGAUGAUGACACUCCAUGUCUAAUUUUUCA